rnacentral:rRNA from 1 species
ACAUUUCUUUUCGUUUUUGUUUAAAGUAAAGUCUGCCCACUGUAAUUAUAAAGGGCCGCGGUAUUUUGACCGUGCAAAGGUAGCAUAAUCAUUAGUCUUUUAAUUGGGGAAUGGUAUGAAUGGCUUAAUGAUUUUUUUCUUUUAUUUAUAUUAAAUUAAAAUUUUGAUUUUAAGUGAAAAUACUUAAAUUUAUUAAUAAGACGAUAAGACCCUAUAGAAUUUUAUUUUUAUUAUUUAUUUAUAUUUUUAUAAAAGUUUAAAUGGGGCAUUUUUUGAAUAAAAAUAAUUUCUAUAAAUUUUUAGAACAUAUCUUUAUUAUUAGACUAUAAAAAAAUUACCUUAGGGAUAACAGCGUAAUAGUUUUUGAGAGUUCAUAUCGACAGAAUAGUUUGCGACCUCGAUGUUGAAUUAAAAUACCUUUUUAAAGCAGCUUUUAGAUAAGGUAGUCUGUUCGACUAUAAAAAUUUUACAUGAUUUGAGU